rnacentral:rRNA from 1 species
ACGCUGGCGGCACGCCUAACACAUGCAAGUCGAGCGGGGUAGCAAUACCUAGCGGCAGACGGGUGCGUAACAUGUGGGAAUCUGCCUUUUGGUUCGGAACAACAUGGGGAAACCUGUGCUAAUACCGGAUAAGUCCUAACGGAGAAAGUUUUAAUGCCAAAAGAUGAGCCCGCAUUUGAUUAGCUUGUUGGUGAGGUAAAAGCUCACCAAGGCUAUAAUCAAUAGCUGAUUUGAGAGGAUGAUCAGCCACACUGGGACUGAGAUACGGCCCAGACUCCUACGGGAGGCAGCAGUGGGGAAUCUUGCACAAUGGGCGAAAGCCUGAUGCAGCGAUGCCGCGUGAGUGAAGAAGGCCUUUGGGUUGUAAAGCUCUUUUGUCGGGAAAGAUAAUGACUGUACCCGAAGAAUAAGGUCCGGCUAACUUCGUGCCAGCAGCCGCGGUAAUACGAAGGGACCUAGCGUAGUUCGGAAUUACUGGGCGUAAAGAGUAUGUAGGCGGCUAGAUAAGUUAAUUGUGAAAGCCCAAAGCUUAACUUUGGAACUGCAAUUAAAACUAUUUAGCUGGAGUAUGAUAGAGGAAAGCGGAAUACAUAGUGUAGAGGUGAAAUUCGUAGAUAUUAUGUAGAACACCAGUUGCGAAGGCGGCUUUCUGGAUCAUUACUGACGCUGAGAUACGAAAGUAUGGGUAGCGAAGAGGAUUAGAUACCCUCGUAGUCCAUACCAUAAACGAUGAUUAUUAAAUGUGGGGAAUUAUUUCUCUGUAUUAUAGCUAACGCGUUAAAUAAUCCGCCUGGGGAGUACGACCGCAAGGUUAAAACUCAAAUGAAUUGACGGGGACCCGCACAAGCGGUGGAGCAUGUGGUU